AGUGAACGCUGGCGGCGUGCUUAACACAUGCAAGUCGAACGAGAACGGAUUAUAUCUUGCUAUAAUUGUCAGCUAAGUGGCGCACGGGUGAGUAAUGUAUAGGUAAUAUGCCUCUUACUAAGGGAUAACAAAUGGAAACGUUUGCUAAUACCUUAUACUCCUUAUUAACAGAAGUUAAUUAGGGAAAGAUUUAUUGGUAAGAGAUUAGCCUGUAUUGUAUCAGUUAGUUGGUGGGGUAAUGGCUUACCAAGACUAUGACACAUAACUGGUUUGAGAGGAUGAUCAGUCACACUGGAACUGGGACACGGUCCAGACUCCUACAGGAGGCAGCAGUGGGGAAUAUUGCACAAUGGACGAAAGUCUGAUGCAGCAUCGCCGCGUGGAGGAUGACACAUUUCGGUGCGUAAACUCCUUUUAUAUGAGAAGAUAAUGACGGUAUUAUAUGAAUAAGCACCGGCUAACUCCGUGCCAGCAGCCGCAGUAA
rnacentral:rRNA from 1 species